rnacentral:rRNA from 1 species
AUUGAACGCUGGCGGCAUGCCUUACACAUGCAAGUCGAACGGCAGCACGGGGGCAACCCUGGUGGCGAGUGGCGAACGGGUGAGUAAUACAUCGGAACGUGUCCUGUAGCGGGGGAUAACCUCUCGAAAGAGAGGCUAAUACCGCAUACGACCUACGGGUGAAAGAGGGGGAUCGCAAGACCUCUCACUAUAGGAGCGGCCGAUGUCGGAUUAGCUAGUUGGUGGGGUAAAAGCCACCAAGGCUACGAUCCGUAGCUGGUCUGAGAGGACGACCAGCCACACUGGAACUGAGACACGGUCCA